AAUCACUCUUGGUCCCAUCAUUCUUCUUCUUUUAUCUUAUUUUGCUUCAUUUUAAGAAUAUAUAUACUGUCAACAGUGAAACACACAUCAACCAAACAGCUUCUGUUAUUUUAAGAAUAUAUUUACUGUCAACAGUGAAACACAGAUCAACCAAACAGCUUCUGUUAUUUUAAGAAUAUAUUCUAGGCCGAGUGGGGUGUUUAAUAUCUAUGAAGAAAGCAUAUGCUUUUGAAACAAACAAACAAACAAACAAACACAUUCCCCGGUUAUUGUUAGCUCAUAGCUUAACAUCAGUAUAAUGCUCAAGGUGCAAAUAAGUGUUCAGGUGUACUUGUCCGUUUGCGCCCCAUUCUUUCUGGAGCUUUUUUCUUCUGAAACAAUCAAGUCUUAGUUUUGUUGAUAUAAAUCGCUUGUAUGCUAGAACACCUUUUUGCCAUAUAGAGUUUAGAUACUAUGAUGAUUUACUCUAAUAAAGGUGCCCCUCCAUAUGAAUAAAUCUUCGCGUUGAAAUAAUUAGGAAUUCCAUGCCGCGCGGAUACAUUGUCCUGUCAUGUGCAAAUAUGUUAUUUUCUGUUUGUCUUAUUGUCUUAUAGUUCUAUGUUGGUAUCUUUUAUAUUGCUGGGAAAAUACCUUGAGGUGGUGGCAAAGGGGAAGACAUCAGACGCUUUGUCAAAGUUGACAGAACUUGCACCUGAAACAGCUGUACUUUUCACUUUCGACAAGGAUGGAAGUAUCAUCUCAGAAAUGGAGAUCAGCACCCAGUUACUUCAGAGGCCAAAGCUAUGUUAAUGAAAAUGAGCAGAAGUAGUAGUACCGCCGAUACAUCAGCUUCUCCGGACAGGAGUCGACCACAUCUGUUGGGAGCUACCUUGGGAGGGGCAGCAGUUUUCAGGUUGUGGUGGCUGCAUUUGUUACAUGGUUUGGCUGGUUCAUACCUGGGCAACUUCACCUCUACCAUCAGCAGAUGAGCAGCAGCAGUAGUACUGCCGAUACAUCAGCUUCUCCGGACAGGAGUCGACCACAUCUGCUGGGAGCUACCUUGGGAGGGGCAGCAUUUUUCAGGUUGUGGUGGCUGCAUUUGUUACAUGGUUUGGCUGGUUCAUACCUGGGCAACUUCACCUCUACCCUCAGCAAUGGAUUCCGGAGGCAAUGGAUAGUUUUGAGCUUGCUCUGCAGUUUGGAAUAUCUGUUCUAGUCGUUGCAUGCCCAUGCGCUCUGGGCUUAGCCACUCCAACUGCUGUUAUGGCAAUGCACUUCAGAAAGCUCACAAGGAUCUGUUGUAGAUAUGCAAUUGUUCCACAUUGCAGAAUGUAACAUGACUGCAGUAUAAACGGAGAAACAUGAGUAAAGCGUGAAGCUAAGAACAUGAGUAAAACGUGUUGCUAAGAACAUGAGUAAAACGUGAUGCUGGAACUUACCUUGGUGCCAUUACCCUCUUGGAGGCGUGGCGACUGAGAAGGUAUUGACUCAGCAUGGUGGUAGAUUGAAGAUGGAUCGGCUGUACUGAGAUGAAGAUGGAUGAACUCGACUGAGAUGAAGAUGACCUUAGCCUGGAGUUUUGUAGACGUUUUGGAAAAGAACUGAGCUAUGGUUUCAUUCCUUUUUGAUGGUCUGGGGUCGUGAGUCUGGGGCCGUGUGAUGGCAUGGAACGCGGCGGCGACAUCGGGCAGGCUCGCGGUCGUCGUGAGUUUGGGGCCGUGUGAUGGCAUGGAACGCGGCGGCGACAUCGGGCAGGCUCGCGGUGUGUCGGCAGAGAUGCGGCGGCGGCAAGAAGGCCUAGCCCUCGGCGUGACGAAGAGACCAAGUCGUGGCUCGGCAGCGGGAUUUCUGGAGAUGCAGUUUUAACCUCUACCGUGAUUUGUGGAGAUGCAGUUUGGAACGACGUGAGCUAGCGAUACAGGUGCAUGUUUAUCUCUAGCGAUACAGGUUCGUUGGGCCUGGCCCAUGUGGGGACGACGGAGACGACGAAAGGAACGGGGAACGACCAAACGUAUUGGCAGAAUACGGAAACAGUUUAGACUUUUUAA